rnacentral:SRP_RNA from 1 species
CUUGAUGCUUCGGGUGACGGUGGUUCUAUGAACCCCGCCAGGUCCGGAAGGAAGCAACGGUAGUGGAAAAACCGGGUGCCCGAAGCCUCAAGGGC